rnacentral:rRNA from 1 species
AUACAUGCAAGUCGAGCGCACAGAAGGGAGCUUGCUCCCGGACGUGAGCGGCGGAUGGGUGAGUAACACGUGGGCAACCUGCCUGUAAGACGGGGAUAACUUCGGGAAACCGGAGCUAAUACCGGAUAAUCCCUAGACACCAGCAUGGUGCGAGAUUGAAAGAUGGUUUCGGCACAUCACUUACAGAUGGGCCCGCGGUCCAUUAGUUAGUUGGCCGGGUAACGGCCCACCAAGACCGCGAGUGCAUAGCCGACCUGGAGAGGGUGGAUCGGCCACAUUGGGACUGAGACACGGCCCAAACUCCUACGGGAGGCAGCAGUAGGGAAUCUUCCACAAUGGACGAAAGUCUGAUGGAGCAACGCCGCGUGAGCGAAGAAGGUUUUCGGAUCGUAAAGCUCUGUUGCCGGAGAAGAACGAGUGCCAGAGGAAAUGCUGGUGCUGUGACGGUAUCCGGCCAGAAAGCCACGGCUAACUACGUGCCAGCAGCCGCGGUAAUACGUAGGUGGCAAGCGUUGUCCGGAAUUAUUGGGCGUAAAGCGCGCGCAGGGCGGCUUCUUAAGUCUGAUGUGAAAUCUUGCGGCUCAACCGCAAAAGGUCAUUGGAAACUGGGGAGCUUGAGUGCAGAAGAGGAGAGUAGAAUUCCACGUGUAGCGGUGAAAUGCGUAGAGAUGUGGAGGAAUACCAGUGGCGAAGGCGGCUCUCUGGUCUGUUACUGACGCUGAGGUGCGAAAGCAUGGGGAGCAAACAGGAUUAGAUACCCUGGUAGUCCAUGCCCGUAAACGAUGAAUGCUAGGUGUUAGGGGGGUCCAACCCCUUAGUGCUGAAAUUUAACACAUUAAGCAUUCCCCCUGGGGAGUACCAACCCCAAGGUUGAAACUCAAAGGAAUUGACGGGGGCCCGCACAAGCAGUGGAGCAUGUGGUUUAAUUCGAAGCAACGCGAAGAACCUUACCAGGUCUUGACAUCCUCUGACAAGCCUAGAGAUAGGCCGUUCCCCUUCGGGGGACAGAGUGACAGGUGGUGCAUGGUUGUCGUCAGCUCGUGUCGUGAGAUGUUGGGUUAAGUCCCGCAACGAGCGCAACCCUUGAUCUUAGUUGCCAGCAUUAAGUUGGGCACUCUAAGGUGACUGCCGGUGACAAACCGGAGGAAGGUGGGGAUGACGUCAAAUCAUCAUGCCCCUUAUGAUCUGGGCUACACACGUGCUACAAUGGGCGGUACAAAGGGCAGCGAAACCGCAAGGUCAAGCCAAUCCCAUAAAGCCGCCCCCAGUUCGGAUUGCAGGCUGCAACUCGCCUGCAUGAAGCCGGAAUUGCUAGUAAUCGCGGAUCAGCAUGCCGCGGUGAAUCCGUUCCCGGGCCUUGUACACACCGCCCGUCACACCACGAGAGUUUGUAACACCCGAAGUCGGUGUGGGAACCUUUAUGGACCCAGCCGCCGAAGGUG